GUCGUAACAAGGUUUCCGUAGGUGAACCUGCGGAAGGAUCAUUACCACACCUCUUUUCUCUUGACAGACCCUGGCGGACUACUCUCUCGGGAGUACGUCCCCAGACUGACAAGGCAAAAAACAAGAGAAGGAUGCGGGAUGCCUAAAAAACAUCCCAAGUCUAACCCUUGCGUCCCAAGGAAAUAAACUUUUAGUGUUCGGGGUGUUAGUCGCCGCUUCGGCGUCUUGCACUCCCCACUAGAAACCCCAAAACAAACCUAGUCACAUUUUUAAUGUAACUCUGAUUGAAAUUCUCAUAAAUUCGAAUACCCACUGAGUUUAUUCUCUCUGGUGACGAUAAAAAUUAAUGAAAAAACACUUUCAGCAACGGAUGUCUUGGCUCCCAU
rnacentral:misc_RNA from 1 species